rnacentral:rRNA from 1 species
AUCCAGACUCCUACGGGAGGCAGCAGUGAGGAAUAUUGGUCAAUGGCCGUAAGGCUGAACCAGCCAAGUCGCGUGAGGGAAGACGGCCCUACGGGUUGUAAACCUCUUUUGUCAGGGAGCAAGGGGCAGGUCGUGACCUGCUGUGAGAGUACCUGAAGGAAAAGCAUCGGCUAACUCCGUGCCAGCAGCCGCGGUAAUACGGAGGAUGCGAGCGUUAUCCGGAUUUACUGGGUGUAAAGGGGGCGCAGACGGCAAUGCAAGCCAGGAGUGAAAGCCCGGGGCCCAACCCCGGGACUGCUCUUGGAACUGCAUGGCUGGAGUACAGGAGGGGCAGGCGGAAUUCCUAGUGUAGCGGUGAAAUGCGUAGAUAUUAGGAGGAACACCGGUGGCGAAGGCGGCCUGCUGGACUGUGACUGACGUUGAGGCCCGAAGGCGUGGGGAGCAAACAGGAUUAGAUACCCGCGUAA